rnacentral:rRNA from 1 species
UACGGAGGGGGCGAGCGUUAUUCGGAAUUAUUGGGCGUAAAGGGCGCGUAGGCGGCUGUACAAGUCAAAGGUGAAAUCCCUCGGCUCAACUGGGGAACUGCCUUUGAAACUGUACGGCUUGAGGCCGGGAGGGGGUAGCGGAAUUCCCAGUGUAGCGGUGAAAUGCGUAGAUAUCAGGAGGAACACCUGUGGCGAAAGCGGCGCACUGGACCACAACUGACGCUGAGGCGCGAAAGCUAGGGGAGCAAACAGG